GCCCUUAGAGUUUGAUCCUGGCUCAGAACGAACGCUGGCGGCAGGCCUAACACAUGCAAGUCGAGCGCACCUUCGGGUGAGCGGCGGACGGGUUAGUAACGCGUGGGAACAUACCCUUCUCUAAGGAAUAGCCACUGGAAACGGUGAGUAAUACCUUAUACGCCCUUCGGGGGAAAGAUUUAUCGGAGAUGGAUUGGCCCGCGUUAGAUUAGAUAGUUGGUGGGGUAAUGGCCUACCAAGUCUACGAUCUAUAGCUGGUUUUANAGGAUGAUCAGCAACACUGGGACUGAGACACGGCCCANACUCCUACGGGAGGCAGCAGUGGGGAAUCUUAGACAAUGGGCGCAAGCCUGAUCUAGCCAUGCCGCGUGAGUGAUGAAGGCCCUAGGGUCGUAAAGCUCUUUCGCCAGGGAUGAUAAUGACAGUACCUGGUAAAGAAACCCCGGCUAACUCCGUGCCAGCAGCCGCGGUAAUAAGGGCG
rnacentral:rRNA from 1 species